rnacentral:tRNA from 1 species
GUGGGCGUAGCUCAGUAGGUAGAGCUCCGGAUUGUGGCUCCGGUGGUCGUGGGUUCAAGUCCCAUCGCUCACCCCA